rnacentral:rRNA from 1 species
UACAGAGGGUGCAAGCGUUGUUCGGAAUCACUGGGCGUAAAGCGCGCGCAGGCGGAUGGUUGCGUCCGGAGUGAAAUUUCGCCGCUCAACGGCGAAGCUGCUUUGGAUACGGACCGUCUAGGGACCGGUAGAGGCUGGUAGAAUUGCAGGUGUAGCGGUGGAAUGCGUAGAGAUCCGGAAGAACACCAGUGGCGAAGGCGGCCUGCUGGGCAGUUGCUGACGCUGAGGCGCGACAGCGUGGGGAGCAAACAGG